rnacentral:rRNA from 1 species
UACAGAGGUCCCAAGCGUUGUUCGGAUUCAUUGGGCGUAAAGGGUGCGUAGGUGGCGCCGUAAGUGGGGUGGUGAAAUUUCGGAGCUUAACUCCGAAACUGCAUUCCAUACUGCGGUGCUUGAGGACUGGAGAGGAGACUGGAAUUCAUGGUGUAGCAGUGAAAUGCGUAGAGAUCAUGAGGAAGACCAGUGGCGAAGGCGGGUCUCUGGACAGUUCCUGACACUGAGGCACGAAGGCUAGGGGAGCGAACGGG